rnacentral:tRNA from 4 species
UCCGGGAUCGUCUAACGGCAGGACACCGGCCUUUGGAGCCGAGAAUCGAGGUUCGAAUCCUCGUCCCGGAG